UGGGGAAUAUUGCACAAUGGGCGCAAGCCUGAUGCAGCCAUGCCGCGUGUAUGAAGAAGGCCUUCGGGUUGUAAAGUACUUUCAGCGGGGAGGAAGGGAGUAAAGUUAAUACCUUUGCUCAUUGACGUUACCCGCAGAAGAAGCACCGGCUAACUCCGUGCCAGCAGCCGCGGUAAUACGGAGGGUGCAAGCGUUAAUCGGAAUUACUGGGCGUAAAGCGCACGCAGGCGGUUUGUUAAGUCAGAUGUGAAAUCCCCGGGCUCAACCUGGGUACCGCAUCUGUGACUGGAGAGGUUUGGUCACGUAGAGGGGGGGAGAAUUCGAGGUGUAGCGGUGAAAUGCGUAGAGAUCUGGAGGAAUACCGGUGGCGAAGGCGGCCCCCUGGACGAAGACUGACGCUCAGGUGCGAAAGCGUGGGGAGCAAACAGG
rnacentral:rRNA from 1 species